rnacentral:rRNA from 1 species
UACGGAGGGUGCAAGCGUUAAUCGGAAUUACUGGGCGUAAAGCGCACGCAGGCGGUCUGUUAAGUCAGAUGUGAAAUCCCCGGGCUCAACCUGGGAACUGCAUUUGAAACUGGCAGGCUUGAGUCUUGUAGAGGGGGGUAGAAUUCCAGGUGUAGCGGUGAAAUGCGUAGAGAUCUGGAGGAAUACCGGUGGCGAAGGCGGCCCCCUGGACAAAGACUGACGCUCAGGUGCGAAAGCGUGGGGAGCAAACAGGAUUAGAUACCCUGGUAGUCCACGCUGUAAACGAUGUCGACUUGGAGGUUGUUCCCUUGAGGAGUGGCUUCCGGAGCUAACGCGUUAAGCAUCCCACCUGGGGAGUACGCCGGCAACGGUGAA